GGACCUCGGUUCAGUGUGCUCGUGCACACGUGUGUGAGAGGAUCAUGAAUCGCGUCCUACCGCUGCUACUGGGGGCGUCCCUGGUCACACCUGGCCUGGGUGAGAUAAUCCCCCGACGCCAGUGUGGAGACGUCCAAGGGGACUUUUACCAGUUCUCUGCCAGGAGUCUCAACGACUCCCAGGUUAUCAGCUUCGAGCAGUACCGAGGCAAGGUGGUGGUGGUGGUGAACGUGGCCACCUACUGAGGGCUCACCACCGCCUCCUACCACCAGAUGAAUGCACUAGCAGAGUUCUACGGAAACGAGGAUAUCGUCAUUCUUGGUUUUCCAUGUAACCAAUUUGGCAAGCAAGAGCCGGGAGCAAACGCCACAGAGAUCUUCAAUGGGAUCCACCACGUCCGGCCUGGCGGAGGCUUUGAAACGAAGAUAAUUCUCUUCGAGAAGACGGAGGUGAACGGCAAAAAUGAGAAUGAGAUCUUUACGUUCUUGAAGAGCGCUUGUGAGUAUACAGACACAGAUUUCUCGUCUAACAUAUUUUAUGAACCCAAACGAGUUGGAGACAUCCACUGGAAUUUCGAGAAGUUCCUGAUUGGCAGGGAUGGCAAGCCUCGGGCCCGGUUCCACCCAAGAGUUACAAACCCUGAAGAUCUGAAGAGCGACCUCACUGCCCUCCUGUACGAAGAGGUUCCUACUCUGUCUCAGGUUCCUGUUGUUCCUCGGGUUCCCUCAGCCGCAGACAAAACUGUCCCUUCCGCACAAAUUUCUCUUGCAGACGCAUGUUGAUGCUGAAAACCCAGCUCCUCCUCCCAGCCACGCCCAUCCUGGUGUAGCCCCGCCCAUGACGAUGCCGCCAGAAACCCUCAGGUGGGCGGCGUCUGAAGUAGUCAGGAGAGAGUAGCCUCUUGUGCAUUCUGGCCGCCACUCUCCUGCCUGCGGGAUGCUGUCCAGGCCAGGCCGAGUUGGAAGGGCUGUUGGACACUAUCUGACAUAGGCUCUGGAAGUUACGUACGUGUUAAUUAUACACUGCAAAAUAUAUUUGCUAAGCUAAUA